rnacentral:sRNA from 1 species
UGACAUUAGUGUCAAAAAAUCAAAGCAUAUUUCUCGCUUGCGAGAAAUAUAUGAUUUGAUUUAUUUGACACGCCGAAACACGAAGAAGUAGCAGUUUUCGAAGAAAACUCGCGGAUUCUGAGUGUUUCCAGGAUUGCGCGAAUUGCGCAGCAAUGGAGCAAUCCGUAUGUCA